CCUGGCCUUUGAUUUCCUGGGAGGAACAGCACUUGGAACGGAGAGGUGGAUACUGUGACUGAAUGAACUCCUACACUCUGCACACCUGUGAACACCCAAAGCUGAGGAGAAGACCUAAGACUUGGGAAAAUGUACCCUAUGGUCAACCCUCCCCUUCCAACAGGGCAGCCAGCGGGAACUGUGACUACAGAGCCCAAUCUUCUUGUUUCCUAAUGUGGUGCUGAAAUCUGCACCAUGGGGUAGUGACCCCACAAAGAAGCCAGGCAAUUACAUAUGUUGGUUCAUUUCAUUAGUUUAUGGAAAUAAAAUGCAUACAACUGUUUGCUGAUAAAUCAUCCCAUUUAGUAUCUAUUACUUUGCAAAAUGUUUUUUGUUCAUGUUUGGUUUACUCAAUAUUUUUCCUUGUUUUUGAGACAAGGUCUCACUCUGUCACCCAGGCUGGAGUGUAGUGGUGUGAUCAUGGCUCACUGCGGCCUCAACCUCCUGAGCUCAAGUGGUCCUCUCACCUCAGCCUCCAGAGUAGCUGGGACCACAGGUGUGCACUGCCUUGCCUGGUUCAUUCGUUCUUUUAUUUAUUUAUUUUUUUUUUGAGGCAG
rnacentral:lncRNA from 10 species